rnacentral:rRNA from 1 species
UGAGGAAUAUUGGACAAUGGGCGGGAGCCUGAUCCAGCCAUGCCGCGUGCAGGAUGACUGCCCUAUGGGGUUGUAAACUGCUUUUACAUGGGAAGAAACGCACCUACGAGUAGGUGUCUGACGGUACCAUGAGAAUAAGGACCGGCUAACUCCGUGCCAGCAGCCGCGGUAAUACGGAGGGUCCGAGCGUUAUCCGGAAUCAUUGGGUUUAAAGGGUCCGUAGGCGGGCCUAUAAGUCAGAGGUGAAAGGCCACGGCUCAACCGUGGGACUGCCUUUGAUACUGUAGGUCUUGAGUCGUUGUGGAGUUGCCGGAACAUGUGGUGUAGCGGUGAAAUGCAUAGAUAUCACAUAGAACACCGAUCGCGAAGGCAGGUAACUAACAACGUACUGACGCUGAUGGACGAAAGCGUGGGUAGCGAAACGGGAUUAGAUACCCCGGUAGUCCACGCCGUAAACGAUGGAUACUAGCUGUCGGGACUUCGGUCUCGGCGGCCAAGCGAAAGUGAU